UACUCCACGGCUUCCGGUGGGCGGCCUGAGGAGGGGAGUGAGAGGCGACGGCCGCGGGGACGCUCAGGGCGGGGCUCGAAGCACGGAAACGGCCCUCCGCUUCGUGUCCCCCGCCCCUCCAUCUCGGUGCACAGAAGCCUGCCCUCUGGGUCCUGGGCGGGGCCAAAGCCCCGCAGUUCGCUGGGUUGUGCGUCUUUUCCUGGGGAGAGGGCGAAGAGACGCCUCCCCAGAGUCCAGGGCCCUGGAGACCUUGGGGAUUCCGUCGGGGCCCCACUCCCCACUCCCGGCUGGACUCCCCCUGCUGUACUGAGGGCGUCUGGCCCUCGAGAUGGCCCAGGACAGUGUAUUAGGGGCGCCCAAGGACCGUGUGACCGGGGAGGGUGGGCGGCAACCCCGCCAAUAUGCCAAAGGGCAGGGUCAGGGGGUCUUCGCUUGGCCCCGCCCUCCAGUCCUGGCGUCUGAGGGCGGCCUUGCCCCGCGCUCCUGAUGCCUUCCACCCUCCCAGGGUCUCGAAUCUGGCCGCCUCCAGCCGCCCCCACCCAUUGCCCGGCCCACCGUGUUCCACAGCCCAUGAGUGUGACUGGGAUGAUUCUCUGUGAAGCCCGGAUCCUGCCCCCUUCCCCCCGCCCCACACGGAGUAACAAGGGAGAGGUGUGGCCCGCUGGGAGGGAAUCUUGCCCAAGCACUCCUGUUCUCCAGGACCGCCUAUGGUUGCAGCCCUCAGUGCCUGCUGCCUGCCUCUUCCCUGGAGGUCAAGGGCUGGGAAAAGCCACGAGGUUGGUGGCUCUCGCGAGAUCUGGGGCUUCCCAUUGAGCAGUCGUCACCCUUCCCUGCCUGAAGCCGAAGGAGGGGCUAUCCACAGCCCAGGCAGGAUCAGGUGUCAGGUGUGGUCAGCCUUCUCUCGCUGGUGGGAAGCCACUGCCUUUCCUGCCACACGUUCCUCACCAAGAGGAUCUCCCAGCUCCUGGGUGAUGCUGCCCAGACCUCCUCAACACCCAGCACCACCACCCACUUCUUUGGCCAGUCUUUGCCGAGGCUUGUCUGUCUUUGGCUCCAGGAUGGCCCACCAUCCAGUUGGAGCCACAGAUGAAAAGCAAUGCCAGUGUCCAGCUGCCCCAUGUGCCCAGAACCAGCAGCUCUGGAACCCCAGCCCCCGAGUACAUUCUUGUAGUGGGAUCAUUUCAGGGGAGGGGGGUGGCGCUUUGGUUGGCAUUUUCCAAGGCCCUCUCCUGCACCCUUUUCCUUUGGGUCACUGGUCUUUUCUUAUUUACUGGUUCAAGUUCUCUAUACCUUCACGAUAUGAGCCCUGAGUCACAUCUUGGUACUAUUUUUUGCCCCACUUUGUCACUUGUCUCUUGACUUGGUGGUUUGGGGUUUGCGUUUGACUAGGCAGACGAUCUUAGCGUUUGUGUCAUCAGACUUUCCAGGGUCUUCCUAUUGGUUUCUGGGGUUUCUUGUCGGUUUGUUUGCUCCCAAUUGACUUACGGUGAUCUUCUCCAUUUAAAGUCAUCAUGUAUAAAUUACCCAUUGCUGAAUAACAAGGGGCUACCCAGGUGAAGGUAGCGUAAAAACCUGCCUGUCAACACAGGAGACAUAAGAGACAUGGGUUGGGAAGAUCCCCUGGAGAAGGAAAUGGCAACCCACUCUAGUACUCUUGCCUGGAGAAUCCCAUGGACAGAGGAGCCUGGCAGGCUACAGUCCAUGGGGUCGCAAGGAGUCGGACACGACUGAAGUGACUUAGCAUGCAAGCAUGUGUAGCAAAUUACCCCAGAUGUAGUGUAGUCCCUUAAAACAACCAGCACUGGUAAUCUCCCAGGUGUCUGAAGGACAGGAUUCUAGAAGGCCUGGCUGGGGCUUCUGGCCUGGGGUCCAUCACAGGCUGCAGUCAAGGCUUCUCCGGGGCCACAGCCCUCUGGUCUGCCUGGGGUGUUGGGGUGGGAGGGGGGUAGGCUCUGCUUCUGGAGGGUUCACGGGGCUGCGGCAGGGGACGGUCCCUCCCCACCGGGCCUCUCCACCAGGCUGCUUGGGUCAGGCCUUCCCCAGAUCCAGCGAUCUCAGAGAGACAGAGCAGCCCCGAGAUGGAAGCCACAGUGUUUGUCUCAUAACUCAUCUCGAGGUGACGCUCCCUCACCUCUGCUGUGAUUUUAUGGAUCACACUGGUCACCCCGUGGAGAAGAGAACGGUACCCACGUGGGCCUAGGUUCUUCAUGUUCGUGCCGCGUGAGAAGGCUCCAAGGAGUGUCCCUGCCCCUGAGCCCGGGUGUGGGACUCCCAGGCUGCCCAGGCCCCUCAGGAAUGUGUCCUUUGUGGAAGCAGGGGUGGCGGGUUGCAGCCCGGAACCGAGCCAGGCCAGGCGUGUGUUGUACAGGCAGAGAGUGGCUUUUCACCUUGAAAUGGUUGCAGACCAAACACACGGAAAGCCAGAGAAACAGAGAUCGUGUGAUGAUCCCAGCAUGGCCCACAGAGCCUGCGGCGUGUGCCCUCUGCCCUCCGCCCAGGAGUCUGCAGCCUGAAGGGCCGUCCCAGCCGGUGGUGCAGCCCUGAGCACAGGCGCAGAAGCUUUCUCACCCUGGCAGCCUGUGCAUGCCACGGCUGUGCAAGUGCACACUCAGGCCUGGGCCCCAUGCUCUCUGACCUCCGAGGUGUGCCCACCCUGUGGUCAGCCCUGCCUGCACCCCCUCCUUCCCAGGGGGCCCCCGUUGAGGGGGUGAAGGCUGAUGAGCCCCCUUUCUUCAAUGGCUGUGCCCGGUAGCCCUGGGCUGGGCUGCUGCCAGCCUGGGGUGGCAGCUGAGUGUCCCUUUGGUCCCAGGAAGGCGCUCCCGCUGUGCCCAUGGGGGACGUGCCUGCUGCCCCACCUCCUGUCUGGGACUGAGACAGGACUUCCCGGUGAAACGCUUGAUGGC